rnacentral:rRNA from 1 species
AGAUCACGUAGGGUUUUAAUCGUUGAACAAACGAACCUUUAGUAGCGGCUGCACCACUGGGAUACCCUGAUCCAACAUCGAGGUCGUAAACCCACUUGUCGAUAGGAGCUCUUGAAGUGGAUUGCGCUGUUAUCCCUAGGGUAACUUGGUUCGUUGAUCAAAAUAUUGGGUCAAUUAAUGUCAAUUUGUUGGUGCUUAGGGUUGUAGCUCUUGGCUCAAGGAUAGGUCCUGUUCAAUGUGGAGGUUAAUUUUUACUCCGCGGUCACCCCAACCUAAAACUAAUAAUCAUAGUACUAAAGUUUAAAUUAAUGUUCUGGAAGUUAAAAUGGGGUUAGUAUUUGUUAUUAAGUUUAAAGCUCCAUAGGGUCUUCUCGUCUUAUAAAAUUAUCCCCGCUUCUUCACGGGAAGAUUAGUUUCACUGAUUAGAAAAAGGAGACAGUAUAACCCUCGUGAUGCCAUUCAUACAAGUCCCCAUUUAAAAGACAAGUGAUUACGCUACCUUCGCACGGUUAGGAUACCGCGGCCGUUGAACAAAGUCACUGGGCAGGCUGGACCUCUUAUAGAAAUUCAAGAGGCGAUGUUUUU